UGAAAAGUUUGAAUGGUUGCCUUUCAAAAUUUGUUGAUCAUUAAAAAGUGAGUGUCCCUUAUAGAAGUGAAGCUCCCAUAUAUGUACACAUCUUUAACCAGGUUCCGUAGAACAGUUAUACGAUAUCACGUCGCCUAUAUAGGAGAAUAUUCUACGAAUCAUUUCAUAUUCGCAACAACUACUUGAAUAUAAAGCUAACAUAAACACAUUAC
rnacentral:lncRNA from 1 species